GGCUUUGCGCAGUGGCAGUAUCGUGGCCUAUGAGGGUUAUCCGAGGCGCGAUUAUUGCUAGUUGAAAACUAUCUAUCUAUCUAUCUAUCUAUCUAUCGACCGAUCGUGUCUGUCUAUGUCUUUGCUAGUUUGAGACA